rnacentral:ncRNA from 1 species
GUGUGACAGGGUGAUGGAGUUCACCCGAAUUGCCGGUACGAGCCGGCUGAUGACUCCUAUCAGCGA